AGGCCUGCGGGUUGUAAAGCACUUUCWGUAGGGAAGAAAAGCCUAGGGUUAAUACCCCUGGGUGUUGACGUUACCUACAGAAGAAGCACCGGCUAACUCCGUGCCAGCAGCCGCGGUAAUACGGAGGGUGCGAGCGUUAAUCGGAAUUACUGGGCGUAAAGCGCGCGUAGGCGGUUUGAUAAGUCGGGUGUGAAAUCCCUGGGCUCAACCUAGGAAUUGCAUCCGAUACUGUCUGACUAGAGUAUGGUAGAGGGAAGCGGAAUUCCGGGUGUAGCGGUGAAAUGCGUAGAUAUCCGGAGGAACAUCAGUGGCGAAGGCGGCUUCCUGGACCAAUACUGACGCUGAGGUGCGAAAGCGUGGGGAGCGAACAGGAUUAGAUACCCUGGUAGUCCACGCCGUAAACGAUGAGAACUAGAUGUUGGGAGGGUUUAGCCUCUCAGUGUCGCAGCUAACGCGUUAAGUUCUCCGCCUGGGGAGUACGCCGGCAACGGUAAAACUCAAAGGAAUUGACGGGGACCCGCACAAGCGGUGGAGCAUGUGGUUUAAUUCGAUGCAACGCGAAGAACCUUACCUGCCCUUGACAUCCUCGGAACUUUCCAGAGAUGGAUUGGUGCCUUCGGGAACCGAGUGACAGGUGCUGCAUGGCUGUCGUCAGCUCGUGUCGUGAGAUGUUGGGUUAAGUCCCGCAACGAGCGCAACCCUUGUCCCUAGUUGCCAUCA
rnacentral:rRNA from 1 species